rnacentral:rRNA from 1 species
CCUACGGGUGGCUGCAGUGGGGAAUAUUGCGCAAUGGGCGAAAGCCUGACGCAGCGACGCCGCGUGGGUGAUGAAGGCCUUUGGGUUGUAAAGCCCUGUCGGGUGGAACGAACGAUCUGGCGGCGAAUAACCGCCGGGUGUGACGGUACCACCGAAGGAAGCCCCGGCUAACUACGUGCCAGCAGCCGCGGUAAGACGUAGGGGGCGAUCGUGGUUCGGAUUUACUGGGGGUAAAGCGCGCGUAGGCGGCGAAAUCCCUAGGCUUAAACCAGGUGCGGAAUCCGAUACUGUCUGGCUCGAGUCUAGGAGAGGAAAGCGGAAUUCCCAGUGUAGCGGUGAAAUGCGUAGAUAUUGGGAGGAACACCGGUGGCGAAGGCGGCUUUCCGGACUAGUACUGACGCUGAGGCGCGAAAGCUAGGGGAGCGAACGGGAUUAGAUACCCCGGUAGUC